rnacentral:lncRNA from 1 species
UUACUACAGGUUAUUGCUGAGGUCAAAAUACCCAAACUCUAACCCGUCGGAUGUCUGCAGCACCAAGCAUUAUUUCGCCCCCUAAAAGAGAAGCAGCAUUAUUUGACUUGAGCUUCUUUGGAGGUCCGGUGAUUGGACUUUAUUUUUAUAUUUUUCAUGGUGUUCUUUGAAUUGUAACUCCCCUAGGUUUUAGCAUGCGUUUGAAGGUUUUGAUUGCUGGGGAACACGGUCAAUGGAUCAUGAGAUUAUCACUCGACGUGCAAACCCUUGUGGAAGUUAAAUCCAUGUAGCGUGUCCAUACCGAGUAGACGACCAACAUGCUCCUCACAGAUUCCGGUACAAUAAAAAUUCGGGUACAAGUUUGAGUGUUAUUUCUAGUCAAUGAUGAUUUUGAGUGUUAUUUCUAAUCCAAUAAAAAUUGAAUUGUUGCAUAUCUUAAAAUUUGUGUACAAGUAAAGGUUUACAAAUACAAAGUCACAAUUAUCUGUACUCCCUCCGUGUUUUUAUUGAGGGCGUCAAAAUUUUCACCCGAAUUUCUAAACAUAAGGCGCGCAACUGUGCGUCUGCGCGCUGGCGUGAUUUGCGAAUUAUCUACUCAUCCACGCGAUUUGGUUGCUUACUGAAAAGUUGCAUCUGUCGUGGAGUUUUGUUGCAUGCAUGCAUGCUCACGGGGCAUCGAUGAAUGGUCCAGUUUUUUUUUCUUGCACAACUGCAUGCGGCAGUUGAGAUCGAUCGUGUGUGCUCCCGAAUGUGUAUGCGGCAGCUACUUAAGUUGCAAGAUGUGUGCAACUUGAUCGGCCGGUUUUGAAAAAAACUAAUUUUCAACCCACAGAAAAGAAGUGUUAUUCAGUUCCGACUAGCGGAGAUGGUUCUAACCGUACGUACGUACGUACGUGUCUAAUUUACAUGGUCCAUUUUUAACCUUGCACGUCGCUUCCGUUCCCUGGCUCCAACACGAUAGUGGCUCUUCUCUGUUAUCUUUGCAUGGAACAACGUGUGGAGUCAAUAACAAUCGAACAGCUAGUAAUAAUCUACUAGUAAUGCCCAAGAACAACGCGAAGAGAGCGAGGGAGAAAAACUAAUUUAAUCAGAGAGAGAGAAAGAGAGUGUGGGUAUGUGUUGAAGUGGCCGAGAAGGAAGAUCAGUAUGGGGCAGUAAUUUAUGGGCGGCUCGAUGAACAUUCCCUUGUCGUGGACUGGAUGGACGCAAAUGGCAUGCGUGCACCUGCCAGAGCAUUUCUCGCGUGCCCUCUCACGUCUCGAUCACCCGCGCACUGCAUGCCGGCCGUUGUGAACCUAUGCCGUGUGCAUGCAUAUAUGUCGUUGUGGUUUGGGUGUGUGCUCCCUAAAAGCACAGCUCCCUCUCUCGUGCAUGCCUUUAUCUCUUUCUUUCUUUCUUCUCUUUUCGUCCCUCGCUUUCUCUUCUUUCCUCUUGUUUCCUAUCGUCUUUUCAUCUUCCUUUCACGGACACUACUGUCUCCGGUAGAAACGCUAGCUAGAGGACGAAGAAAAAGCAGCAAAGAGAUGGAAAUUAAUGGAUCCAUCUCUGUGCGCAUAUCUUUCUGUCUCUCAUGUAUUUGACCAUGACGAGAUAGAGCCGAGAAAGGUAGUAAAAGAAAACAUAAACCUGUAAAGAUCGAGUGAAAAGAAAAUUACAUACUCCGUACAUACUUAAUCAUCACAAGUUAUACAGUUAUAUGCCUGAUCCAUAUGCAAUUUGUUACUACACUGGAUAGCACGUACGCAUAUAUAGUUUCGCGCAUGCUGAUCAGUACUGUACCAGGAUGUGAGUUCCUAUAUAUAAUUACCCUAUCGAUCGUACGCUUCCUGCACAUGUCGUACACAAAGUAAGGCAUAAAUAUAUAUAGUAAUUUUUUAAAUUUUAUUUAACCGGCCGGCCAAAAGCUAGCUAGCUUGUUGCUUUAUUAUAAAGUGAAAGGUGAUGGAUAGUUUGUUCAAGGCUCGAGGAGGAUGCAUGAUGUGUGUGUAAUUGGUGGGGACUGGCGACUACCUAGGAAUUGCUUGCAAGGCGCUAAUUGAUGGAUGGAUGGAUUGAUCGAUAGACCGGACUAGAUAAAAAUGUGGCACGUAGGGCUUGGUGCUAGCGUUGCACCAUGGGAUGCUUCUGCGUGUGGCACUGUACAUGUGAGACAGCUCGAUGUGGACGCUCCGCAAUCUGCCCAAAUGUAUAUCAUAUCUAUCUCAACCGUUAGCUCAUGGCGCAUUAGGUUCUCUUUUCCAUCGUGUGUGUCCUACGUACUUGGCAGGUACGGCGCUGUUUCUUUGACCAUGCAUGCAUGGACGUACGUGUAUGUGCAAUCCCAGAGCUUGUCCUGUUUCUUCUGAUCAUUAGCUAGCGAGCGCCUUCUUACGAGUUACGAACUACUGUUACUCCCUUAUUUUCAGGAUUUAUAAGACUCGAUCACUCGUAUUCCAUAUUUCAGGAUUUAACUUUGAUAUAAUUAUGCCCUAAAAAAACUUUGAUAUAAUUAUUAGACAACUGAUAUAUGUUUGUAAUUAAAAUUAUUUAACUGGAAAUUUCGCUGUUUGUGGAUUCAAUAAUAUAACUUUUUGUGGCACCACUCAUAUAUAUUUUGUUGCUCAAUUGCCGUUUAAAAUAAAUAUCAAAAGAAGUAUGCUUCGGUACACCCCUCCUUCCAGAAUUAAAAAGGUACCUACUUUUAAUUCCGUUUCUACAUAUUAGUUAGGAUAGCCCACUAGCUAAAACCCAUAUCCAAGCCCCGUAUCUGGGUCGAUACCCAUACCCAACUCUCCCGUUCGCUGAGGGCUUGGCUUUCUUCUUCUUCCUCCAUGGGCUAUCGCCACAGCCACAUUGCAGCAAGCACUGAUGGCAGAUAUGAGGGUGGCCUGACUCCGUUCACUUAGUCCGAUCUGGAGCUCCGGGCGCCAUCCCUUCCCCACGAGUAAUUAAUAAGAGAUCUACGUUUACUCAACCAAGGCCUGAUGCAUACAACUUGAUCUUGAUAUGGUAGAAAAAAUAGUUGGUGCUGACUUAGAAUUCAUGGAUUAGCAUUUAAUAAGUAUGGUACUAGAACAUACAUAGACAAGAAUAUAUUUUGGGAUUGAGCUUAACUACUCCAAGUUCCCUUGUUUGAGUUGCUAGAGUAAGGUGCUCAUCCUCACCACGAGUAUCACUUGAAUCAUCACUUGCUACUUUGACUCUAGCCGAUCCUACAAAUUAGUAGAAUAAUAGUAAGUGAUACCAUUACGUAUUUUGUUGGAGCUAAAUCUCUCAACUCACACAAGAAACGGAAAGCAAGAUUUUUGGCCUCGAGCUGCCUCUCACAGCCGAGCUUUUCUCUCCUUCUAUUCCUCUUUCUUGUUACCAAAACAACCGAGAUUACAAUGCCUUAUAUUAUAAGCCAGCAAAAACGGCUCGGCUCGGCUCGGUCCAGCUCGUCACGAGCUCGCCUCCGCUGAGCCGAGCCUGGCUCGGCCCGAAAUUCCGGCGAGCCGUUUUUGCUGGCUCGGCUGGGCAGGCACGCAGCUCGGGCUGGCUCGGCGAGCUGGAGGGUAGAGGUGUACGGAGGCAGGCGGGAGAUCCGGCGACGGAGUCGUAGACGAUGUGGUACGACCAGAGAAGGUUCCCAUCGAGCUCCACGGCCCCGUCGUCUACUUCUGCGACCUCGUCGUCGUCUUCUACCUCUGCGACCCUGUCGUCGUCUACCUCCACGGCCCCGUCGUUGCCAGCGAGGGGCGAGAACAGGCCGAGGUCGACAAGGAGAGACCGGCGUUGGCAUGAUUGAAGGCGGCGGCGCAGCAUCAUGGCGGCCAUAUGGCCGAUGCGGGCAAGAGAUGAGCCGCCCAGCACCUGCUCCUAGCGGCUAGCACGAGCACGUUGUCCAUGGCGGCGGCCGACGGGAGUUGUGCAGCGGCGGCGGACCAGGAGAGUCGUGGGAGAGAGACGAGGCUGAGACAGAUCGAGGAAUCGUUCACGUCGCCCUAAUUCCCCUCGGCCUUGGGCAGUUGCGUCGUGGGCUUCGCCAUGGGCUUCGAAAUAUUGGGCUGGGCUGCCACUGUAGCUCUCGAGCCAGCAGCCCGAGGGCAAAACGAGCCCAUUUUCGAAGCUCGGCUUGAGCUGAAAGUGAAGCAGGCUCGGGCCGAGCUGGCCCGGCUCGUCAUGGGCUCGGUCCAGCUCGCCGAGCCCAGCUCGUAUGUCCAGCCUGAGACCGAACCAGCACCCGAGUCUGGACUGAACCGGGCCAGUUCGCGACCAAGGUCCACGUGGCAUGCCACGUCAGCCCGAAAGGUGGGGCCUGUCGGUAAGAAAACAUUGGGUUAGGGAGAAAAAUACUAAAAGGGGUAAUUAGUGGCAAAUGUUUGCUUAAAUGGGGUAGAAUUUUAGAAAUUCUCUUAAAUGGGGUAGAUUGUGUCAAGAAAAUGAAGAGAGGAGGUAAAAAAUGGACUUUACUCAAAGGUUUUUCCUUGGCUAUGGAUAAAAGGGAGGAUUAAAGUGAGAACGGUGCUUAGGAGAAAGCAGAUUAUUGCCACUGAUGAAUGUCCUUUUGGCUGCAAUGCAAGUGAAUCUCCGACUCAUCUCGGCUGGUUUUUCCACGUUCUAUCUUACUCUUUCAAUUGUUGGGGAUUAAUACUGUGGGUGCAUAACACUUGCGCCUCCUGACAAGAUGGCUGCUUGGGAGACUGUUUUUUUUUGGAACGAAGUCAGGAGGGGAGACCCCUACCUGAAUUUUGAUUAAAAGGAGCCUGAGGCUCAAAGUUGCAAAGCGCCUGAAACCGGCAAAAGUGAAAAUAAUUACAAGGCAGGACAGAGCAAACACAAGGAAGCAAAGGAGAAAGAAAAAAAUUGGUAUUUAAUCAGGCCAAUCUUCAAUCCAGCGGUUGAUCGCCUGUUUUUCCUUGUUCUUCAAAGUUGGGAGACUGUUGCUGCUGCUAUUCUUUAGAAUAUUUGGCUUGCCCGAAAUCACAAGGUUUUUGAUGAUGGCAACAUUCCCGUGUCUAUCUUGGGAAGCAAUGUUCAGAGACAUUGAAGCUAUGGUCUCAUCGUUUAAAAGGCAAGUAGAGGUUAGCUGCUCGUCGGUGGAUAUAAGAUUGGCCUGCAUAGUUCCUUUCUUCUUGUUCUUCUUUUCUUUUCCUACAAACUUGUGGUACUUAAUUAUAAAAUUUGGCUGUUGUAAUCCUCCUGGGACUUGUACUGUUUGGAACUCCUUGGUUCCGUUUUUAUAAAAAUUAGGUAGGGGUCUCCCCUCCCGACUUCGCUAAAAACAAAGGUUCCAAAUCUGGGCGGUGUUACAUAUCGGAGCGAUUAGAAGCUUGAACUUCUCAUCCGGCGGCAAGCGUCGUCACGGUCCAAACUGAAUCCGUGCUGUGGGAGGAUAGUACUCUUAGGCCCAGUGCUGGAAAAUGGGCAGAGAAGAAAACGUACUCCGUAAUAAGGCUUAACUAGUCCGUCUCUGGUCUCUUGGCCCAAAUACUCGAGCUGAACACCUCUCUUUUUUUUUCUCGGGGCUUUGAAACUUCAGAUGUGGCCUCUCAAAUAUGCUCCAAAAAAAUGUUGCCUCUAAAAAAAAUGAAACUUCAGAUUUGGAUUCGUAUCUCCAUGAAUAAAAAUUUGAAUCCAAAUGCUUUGAGAUAAUUUGCAUGCCAACCUGUUUUUACAUGACUCCAUUUCUUUAUCUGACAACCAUUAUUCAGGCAUUCGCGGACGACACCACAGUCACAGAUACAAUUUGGGCGAAACACUAAGAUCAGACUUUCCUUGAACUCACACGAGAAAACACGCGGGGCACUAAGGCCAGUCCGCCACCACCCUUAAUACCAUGGCUGGAAGCCUGGAACCGGAGAAGUAAGAAUGGUGUUUGCUUGAGAGGAGGAUGCCGGCGCUAUGGCCUGGUUUGACAGCUUGUCGUGUCAUGUGGGCGCAAUCGCGCGUGCAUGUGUAGUUGACAACUUGAAUUAGCGGAACACAUCGACACACCGUGCUCUGGUACGAUCAGUGGAUGAUUGGAUUGACUAAUGGUACACACGAUUCACGAUUCUUCCGUCAUUCAUUCACUCGUGCACCUCAUGCUUAAUUACAUUGCGCGGGGUUCACUCCACCAUGGUACAAAUCAACACAUAACUAGACAAAGGUACAAGUUGAUCUACGGCGUACAAGUACACAUGCAUGCAUAUAUCGAUCGUCCGAUGGAUGGACCGAUAUAUACUACAGCUAGCUGCUAAUUCUCAUUUAGCUCCCGGGGGCGAAGUUGGUAGCAAAGGCCCAUGCAUUGUUGUUGACUGGGUCGGCGACGUGGUCGAAGAGGUUCUCGACGGGUCCCUUGCCCGUGACGAUGGCCUGCACGAAGAAUCCAAACAUGGAGAACAUGGCGAGGCGGCCGUUCUUGAGCUCCUUGACCUUGAGCUCAGCGGCGGUGUCUGGGUCGUCGGCGAGACCGAGGGGGUCAAAGGCGCCACCGGGGUAGAUCUUGUCGAGCCCCUCACCGAGAGGGCCUCCACCAACACGGUAACCCUCGAUGAAGCCCAUGAGCACAACUUGGCAUGCCCAAAUGGCGAGGAUGCUCUGCGCGUGCACGAGGUUAGGGUUGCCCAGGUAGUCCAGGCCGCCCUCGGAGAAGAUCUGCGAGCCGGCCUUGAACCACACCGCCUCGCCGAACUUGACACCAUUCUUGGAGAGGAUCUCCGGGAACACGCACCCGAGCGCGCCAAGCAUCGCCCAACGAGAGUGGAUCACCUCGAGCUCCCUGUUCUUGGCGAACGUCUCUGGGUCAGCUGACAACCCCGCGGUGUCCCAGCCGUAGUCACCGGGGAACUCGCCGGUCAGGUACGACGGCGUCUGCUCGGAGAACGGGCCCAGGUACUUGGGACGGUCAGGGCCGUACCUAUAUAUACACGCACGGUCAUUUCAUCACCAUUAAUUUCAUUCAGGCGAAGCCAAUUGCGCGGUACUUGAUGCAUGUAGUACAUAGAAAUGUAGCUUUGGACGAAGAAAAAGAUAUACUUACCAGAUGCUCUGGGGUGCGCUCUUGACAGUCCGGCGCAUGGUGAUGCGGCCGCCGAAGUCGCCGACGCUGCGGACGAGGUCAUCGCGGCGUGGGGCGGUGCCGAGGAAGCUGGUGGUCUGGUGCAGCGCCGACGCGGCCAUUUCGAUCCCAAUUCAAGUGGUAAGGUCAGUGAGAGAUGAGCUGGUGGCUGGUGUUGUUUGAGUG